UGUCAUUGGCUUAUUAAGUAACUUCUCUGUAGCAUUGCUGUGACGUCUGUGUUUUGAAGUAGAUCUGUGACGUCAAUUCUCUUGUAAUUCAUAUUUCUAGUUCAGAAAGUUGCAUGCGAAGCAACAGCUAUAAUAACAGGCCAUGUUGUGGCCUUGCCACUGACAAUCCCCCCUGUUGCUAGGCAACACCCUUUGUGAAACUGUCCUGUCCUGUCAUUGGUGCAUGUUGUUUGUGGACUACCUAGAGCACAUCUACCCCCUGAUAUAUGGGGUUCUGCUUUAAACACCUCAAUUAAUGGUUCAGUUUACUUUAAUACUUAAUUCACUCUGCGUUAACAACCUUUAACAAACCUUAAUUAGUCACAAAACAGGAAUAAUGUGAUGAUGGUAUGUUUUAUCAAAUCAGCUAGCAUAGAGACUGAGGUCUUCUGUUGGCUGAUGUGGUUUCUUCUAUUGGCUGUAGGAAUGAGCGGGUCGUUUAGCAAGAGAGAACCUCUUACUAAGACACAAGAUCUCCGUGCUGAAAGAAGAGGACCGGAGAGAGACCCGGGAGGAGACGCUCUUGAAACUGGAGUGUUUCAGGAAGGAGAAGAUAUCUGCACAAGAAAAAGCAGAGAGUUUCAAGAGACAGAUCUCUGAGCUGCGUCUCCGCAGUCAGCAGCUGGAGGAUGAGAACGGGGUGCUGUCGGAGAAGAACGCCCAGAAUGCAGCAGGAGUGGAGGGGUUGAGCCAACAGCUGGGGGAACUGCUCAGACAGAGUGAGAGACAGGAGGCUGUCAGAGACCAGCAGCACAAUGAACCAGAGGACAACAGCACCAAGGUAAAACUGUCAGAGUCCAUUUUCAGGCCUUUUGCGCUUUUUCAUAAUUAGUAUUUGUUUGAUUCCUUGCUCUUCGCUCCUCGCCUCUUCCUCAAAAGGCAUUGUACAAGAAGAUUCAAGGUCCCUGCCUUCUUCUCGGAUGUGUUUUGAGUAGGAAGCAAGGAAAGGUCCCUGUUCUCUGGCCUUCUUCUCCGAUGCGUUUUGAGUAGGAAGCGAGGAAAGGUACCCUGCUCUCUGGCCUUCUUCUCCGAUGCGUUUUGAGUAGGAAGCGAGGAAAGGUACCCUGCUCUCUGGCCUUCUUCUCCGAUGCGUUUUGAGUAGGAAGGGAGGAAAGUUACCCUGCUCUCUGGCCUUCUUCUCCGAUGCGUUUUGAGUAGGAAGCGAGGAAUGCGGAUAGUAGAAAUAAAGCAAAGACAUGUUGAGGGAAAAGUAUUGGAUUCCUAUUGGCUAACGACUUGUUCUCCCGUGUCAGAUGGCAGUGUUUGCGUCUGCCCUGGAGGCGGAGCUAACCAAUGCUGUGGAAGGGACUGUACUACUAGCGGAGGGCAAGCCCAGCUGGUUCUACAACUCACCACCUCGCGAUUAAGUUGAGGACAUUGAGCAGACAAACAUCUGGUUUUGACU
rnacentral:lncRNA from 1 species